GUGGGGAGGGUUGAAAAAAUGUUAUUCUUUGCUUGCUAUUUACAUUGAAUCGUGAAACCAACCGCUUUAUCAUGUUUUAGAACAGUUCAUAGUUUUCAUUUAUCAUUAUGAUAUGAUAUGUGGGGGCGUUUUGAUUAUUGGGGGGUUUACAACACCCCAUCCCCCCGUAAUUUACGCCUAUGAUUAGCAUGCUAAUCGCCAAUUAAAAUAAUCGCUAAUUAGCCACCAUGCUAGGCGGAUUUUGGCAAGACGUUUGUACAAGUUACCUCUGUGUCCAGAAUGUAAACUCACAUGCUGUUUCAAGCUAAAUGCCACAGGAAUAUGUAGCUUUAGAUAGCAUAGUUUAACUCCUUAUUUUAUGGAGUAAUGUGUGUUUUGCAUUGAAUAUAUAGUCAGUUAUAGUUUGUAUUGUGCAUUAGAUCUAGAGCACACUACUGUUAACACCUAACAAGUACGGGAAAGAAAUAUAAUACUUAUCAUUUUAUGUUUGUUGUGCAGUGACUACACCUGAGCAGGUGAUACACAGGUACAGGUACAUCCUGAAGACAUACAAAAUCUAAUAAAAAAUAAAAAAUUAAUUUCUGUGUGUCUCAGGCCUUGAAACGCCACCAUGGGGACAAAACAGUGAUCGCUCCGACAAGCAUCAUUGCUGAGGUGGACAUAGCUUCAGAAGGGGAAAACUUUGUUGUGUGUCCCCCCCACCCCCCACUGAAAGAACAACCCUAAAAUAUUUCGCAUUGCAGCUCAAAAGAUUUGUGGACUCCUGUCCUGAGCUGAAGGACAAAAUAAAAAAGACUGAAAAGAGGUAAAAAAAAAAACCUCCUCCCAUUGAAAUGGCAAUUUAGAACAUGGGAACAAAGUUUCUGAAAAUUGUUUUUUUUUUAUUGGUUUGUUACAUUGAUAAUAUAAACAUAGCUUCCUGUUUUGCUCUUGUUUUUGUUUUUUUGUUGUUGUUUUUUUACUAUAAUUAAUCAUUUUCACUACAUUUUGAUUUUGAUUGCCAUGGAAAUUUGUAGACUUGUAGACCCUUAUUUCCUUAGUUAAGAUAAUUAGUUCAGAGUUAAGAUAUUUUGUUGUUAAAUUGUUAUAUAGUACCAUUUAUAUAGCACAUUUAUAUUGUAUCAUAGUAGUUUAUAUAGUUAAGACAUUAUACAUAAAACAUACUCUAUUUAAUCAUGUUCAAUAUUCUCAUUGUCUUUUCAAAAUGUCUGUUGUUAAUGACAUGUUGCAUGGUGAUAGUGUGUGACAUGAAAGGUAACCUGCACCAAACAGGUAGUCUUGGAUCCCUUAUCGUAACAUCAGAUAGGCACAACUCCUGUAAUGUUUGACAGUGUUCACUGUGAUCAGCAGUAAGAACAGGAGAAGAGCACAUACCUUGUUGGUUCUGUUUUUAUUUUCAGAGUAAGAGCGGGAGAACAGUGUAAACUUCUUAAUCCAGCCCACCCUCUGUUGUUGCUCUGUAUUUACAGAGUAGGAGAAGACCACAUAGCUUGUCGUUUCUGUGUAGUUAAAGAAUAAAAACAUUUUUUUAUAA